AAAUGAAUAGACGGGGGCCCGCACAAGCGGAGGAGCAUGUGGCUUAAUUCGAUGCAACGCGAAGAACCUUACCUAGGCUUGACAUGUGACUGCACGCCCUGUGAAAGCAGGGCUCCUUCGAGGGUGUCACACAGGUGCUGCAUGGCUGUCGUCAGUUCGUGCCGUGAGGUGUUUGGUUAAGUCCACCAACGAACGCAACCCCUGCGUCCAUUUGCCAACGGGUAAUGCCGGGAACUAUGGACGGACUGCCCCUUCAAACGGGAGGAAGGUGGGGAUGACGUCAAGUCAGUAUGGCCCUUACGCCUAGGGCUGCACACGUGCUACAAUGGCCGGUACAGAAGGAUGCGAGACCGCGAGGUGGAGCAAAACCCCAAAACCGGCCCCAGUUCAGAUUGGAGUCUGCAAUUCGACUCCAUGAAGUUGGAUUCGCUAGUAACGGCGCAUCAGCAUUCGGCGCCGUGAAUACGUUCCCGGGCCUUGUACACACCGCCCGU
rnacentral:rRNA from 1 species